UUCAAGAAAAAUGUAAUAGAAACUUAAUUUGUUUGAUGAGUUUAUUUGUCUCUUAUAUGUACCUGGUUGUGUGUUCACUUCAUUUCUUUUGUUAAAUUAAUUUGUUUCAUCUUUGGGGUAACAGAUAAACACCUACAAUGGCUUCUAUUGUGAUGAAUUUACUCCAAAUAGUCCCUAUAUAUAAUAAGAGGAGGGUAAACUUUUUUUUUUAAUAUGACACUAAAAUUUAGAAAUGAGGAAAUGAAAUAUUAUGGAUGGCAUAACUUUCUGUUAAAUAUGAAGGUUUACAGAAUUUGGAGGUCCAAUUCACAAAAGACUUGUCCAGGAUUUGGCAUUUGCAGCUGCUAGAUUUAUAAUAAGAGGAAGGUCCUUUGUAAACUACUACAUGUAUCAUAGAGGAACCAAUUUUGGACGAACAUAAACAGACGUAAAUUAGAAAUUACUACUUUGGAAUCUGUCAUUGCUCAGUCACAUGAAGGGCUUAAUCGUUACAAAGAAGAGAGAGACAAGUUACAUGGGGAGAGAAAGUCCCUAUGGGGCAAAGAGAAUAAACUUACUGCUGAAAUUGAUAAGCUGAGAGCUGAAGUUGAGAAGGCUGAAAAGAGUCUUGAUCAUCAUGCAAUUCCUGGUUGCAACAUUGGCGAGGAAUCAACAUUCAUAAUUGAAUAUCUCUUGUCAAAUUUGGUCUAUGUACAUUUUCACUUAACAGACAUUUGUAAAUCAAUUGUAUCUCUUGACAAAUAUUGUCUGGUCUUCAACUGUAUAUUUUAUGAGUGCUUCAUAGAUAAGCUCAAUGAGAAUGGGAAGAUUACGCACAAUUUGUUCAAGUUUGAAGCAAAUAUUUAGCAGUUAGUCAACUCUGUUACCAUGAUCAAGGAUAUAAAAAAUGUGAAGUUUGAGCCAUUCAGGCUCAUCAUUCAGGUACCUACCCUCCUAUUUUAUCAUUACAUAUUUGUGAAGUUAGUGGUUUCAUUUUGGAUUUCUUUUGUUAUUGAUCACCACACGUGACAGUCCAAGAUGAGUAAAGAAUACCCAAGUCAUCACUCAAGUACUGGAUUGUAGUAGAUACGGUCAGGAGGUAUAAAUUAGUAAUUAUUUUUGAAUAAAUAGAAUAAGUCAUGUGAAGAUUGGUGAAGCUAUUCAUUGUCCUGUCUUGGUGUUUGAUUCAUAUGUGUUGAAUUUGCUUGUUUAUCAUCACUUCUUCAAUGCAGCUUUUGGAUUUAGCAUUUCUCCCUAUCAAUUUGUUUUACACAUUAUGAGGAUUAUCAAUAUGCUAAACUUCUAUCUACCGAAGAACAUGUAGAACUGAGAACUUUUGAAUAUAUGGUGGCUAUAUCUUUUUCUAUGUACAUAGGCUAAAACAAUUCAUCAUGGGUGUAUGUAUUUAUUUGAUAUAUCAUUUAUGGAAGACCACUAGCUUGCCAACUGCAAUGCCAAUUGAAGAUAAUUGUAAAAAAUUGGAUUUUGGUGUAUU